GAUGAAGAACGUAGCGAAAUGCGAUAAGUAAUGUGAAUUGCAGAAUUCAGUGAAUCAUCGAAUCUUUGAACGCACAUUCCGCCCGCCAGUAUUCUGGCGGGCAUGCCUGUUCGAGCGUCAUUACAACCCUCAGGCCCCCGGGCCUGGCGUUGGGGAUCGGCGGAGCCCCCCGUGGGCACACGCCGUCCCCCAAAUGCAGUGGCGGUCCCGCCGCAGCUUCCAUCGCGUAGUAGCUAACACCUCGCGACUGGAGAGCGGCGCGGCCACGCCGUAAAACACCCAACUCUUCUGAAGUUGACCUCGAAUCAGGUAGGAAUACCCGCUGAACUUAAGCAUAUCAAUAAGCGGAGGA
rnacentral:misc_RNA from 1 species